rnacentral:rRNA from 1 species
AACGAACGCUGGCGGCAGGCCUAACACAUGCAAGUCGAACGCCUCAGUAAUGGGGAGUGGCAGACGGGUGAGUAACACGUGGGAACAUACCCUUCGGUUCGGAAUAACUCAGGGAAACUUGUGCUAAUACCGGAUACGUCAGCGAUGAGAAAGAUUUAUCGCCGAAGGAUUGGCCCGCGUCUGAUUAGCUAGUUGGUGAGGUAAUGGCUCACCAAGGCGACGAUCAGAGCUGGUCUGAGAGGAUGACCAGCCACAUUGGGACUGAGACACGGCCCAAACUCCUACGGAGGCAGCAGUGGGGAAUAUUGGACAAUGGGCGCAAGCCUGAUCCAGCCAUGCCGCGUGAGUGAUGAAGGCCUUA